rnacentral:rRNA from 1 species
UAGGGAAUUUUCGUCAAUGGGCGCAAGCCUGAACGAGCGAUGCCGCGUGAGUGAAGAAGGCCUCGGUCGUAAAGCUCUGUUGCGGGGGAAAAAAGGGCAGCAUCAGGAAAUGGGUGCUGACUGAUGGUGCCCCGCCAGAAAGUCACGGCUAACUACGUGCC